rnacentral:rRNA from 1 species
UACGAGGGGGGCGAGCGUUGUUCGGAAUUAUUGGGCGUAAAGGGUGCGUAGGCGGUUCCGCAAGUCCUGUGUGAAAUCUUCGGGCUCAACUCGAAGUCUGCACGGGAAACUGCGGGGCUUGAGUGUGGGAGAGGUGAGUGGAAUUCCCGGUGUAGCGGUGAAAUGCGUAGAUAUCGGAAGGAACACCUGUGGCGAAAGCGGCUCACUGGACCACAACUGACGCUGAGGCACGAAAGCUAGGGGAGCAAACAGG